rnacentral:snRNA from 1 species
AUUGCUUCUCGGCCUUUUGGCUAAGAUCAAGUGUAGACUUUCAAUUGAAAUUAAAACUGUGGGUUUUUUUUUUUCUCAUGUGUUUUCAUAUUGAAUUCUCCCAAGAACCCUGGGAGCAUCCUCAUGGCCACUUACAGGCAAUAAAAAAGAGCCCAAAGAAAAGAGG